UCUCAUUCAAUUGAGGUUUGUUUAACAACCUCAGAAUUUGAUUGUAUUGAUCCAUUGUUAAGUGAGGUUGUUGGAUAUGGUGUGGGUGUGGAGUGACUCCAUUGUCUCCAGUGUGUUGAUUUUGGACAUUAGCUACAGAGAUUUUGUUCUUUCCUUUGAAAUCAGCAGGGUAACCUAUGAGUUUAUAACAAUUGUCCCUAGUACGACUCCAUGAAG
rnacentral:misc_RNA from 1 species